GAUGAACGCUGGCGGCGUGCCUAAUACAUACAAGUCGAGCGAACAGACGAGGAGCUUGCUCCUCUGACGUUAGCGGCGGACGGGUGAGUAACACGUGGAUAACCUACCUAUAAGACUGGGAUAACUUCGGGAAACCGGAGCUAAUACCGGAUAACAUGUUGAACCGCAUGGUUCAACAGUGAAAGACGGUUUUGCUGUCACUUCUAGAUGGAUCCGCGUCGCAUUAGCUAGUUGGUAAGGUAACGGCUUACCAAGGCAACGAUGCGUAGCCGACCUGAGAGGGUGAUCGGCCGCACUGGAAGUGAGACACGCUCAUGAGGCCUACGGGAGGCAGCAGUAGGGAAUCUUCCGCAAUGGGCGAAAGCCUGACGGAGCAACGCCGCGUGAGUGAAGAAAGUCUUCGGAUCGUAAAACUCUGUUAUUAGGGAAGAACAAAUGUGUAAGUAACUAUGCACGUCUUGACGGUACCUAAUCAGAAAGCCACGGCUAACUACGUG
rnacentral:rRNA from 1 species